CCUGCUAGCAGACUGCACUCCGUCAUGGAGCUGAACAGAUACAAUGUGCACUGUAGCACGAUACUGAGUGAGUGAGCCUCACGGUCAAUGCAUGAGAGUUAGCAGCUCUGCCUUACAAUUAAUAUGAAGCUAAAGCUCCUGCUAAGCUAAGCUAAACUUGGAUUUUAAUGCAAUUUUAAUGUUUUCUGUAGGCUUAUGACAAAAAACUACAAAGCUAUGACUUUCCUAUCAGCCUCAGCUGUAGUUCAUGUUUAUUGCUAAUUAAGAAAUGCUGGCAUGCUGAAAUGCUUAGCUAAGAUGUGUUAGCAUUUAGCUCCAGGCACCAUGUGUCUUAAUACAGCAUCACAGCCUUGCUUGCAUGACUGUGGACUCUUCUGGUUAAACCUUUGGGCAGAGCCAGGUCAGGAAAGCGUCGUUUUCCUCACUGCUUUUCCCUUUUCUGGAACACCAUUCUCUGAAAGCUUGGUUCAGUUCACCUCAAGCAGAUCAUGUCAAGACUUGCAUCGCACAAAAUGACUCUGUAACCUCAUGAGCAGACCGGGCCAUGCUAAUGAGGAAGAUGCAGCAGGACUGAAGUACUUGUCUUCCCCCUGAGCCAUGCCUUCAACAUUUUCUGCAGUCACUGCCAAGGCUCCACUUCAGUAAUUGGCUGGGGAUUUUGAGGAAUAUCAAUCCCAGGCAAGCUGUGCAUGGCUUUGUGCAAGGUGCUGGUAUGGUGUCACCUUCACAGGCUGUCCCACUGCUCAGUACCCCCCGAGAGCGAGGGAUAGCACUGAGAUCACAGGCAUCUCAUCAUAUUUUCUGUGAUAACUGCCCUGGAUCAAGUGAAAGGGAUUCAGAAAACUUCUUUGAGCUACUUGGGUCAAAGAGCUGGGCACACCGUGGUGGCUUGGCUUAAUAAUGUUGACAGUAAUGUAACACGCAGCACAGUGCCACUCAUACACAGAAAAUAAAUCCUCUUUUUUUUCACCUCCAUCUGAAAACUCUUGUGUUCUCCUAUCAGGUUCUACUCUAGCUUUGUUUUAUCUACUUGCCAUCUUGGCACACUGGGCCCUAUAUGACACAGCCAUAAAUAUGGAUAUGGAAAGGCAGCAGCUUCUUUUGCAAUGCAAAUGCAUCUUUUUAGGACACAAAUGCUCUUGACUUAAGGUCAAGGGAAACAACUCAACAGCUCACUGUCAGUUUGCACUGCCAGUGACAAUGCCUUUCUGUAAGUGGAUGAUUUAGUUUGAACCUACUUGUGGUUGUACCUCAACUGAACUAUAAUAUGCUAAAUAGCCCUCAGAACUGUUAUUUGUUGAAGGAGACAUAUUGUGCUUUUUGUAAUUUUCUGUUAUUUUUAUACUUUUAUGAUGUCAGAUAUCUACUGUAUAUUA